AGAGUUUGAUCCUGGCUCAGGACGAACGCUGGCGGCGUGCCUAACACAUGCAAGUCGAACGGACGAGGCCCCUUCGGGGACCGAGUUAGUGACGGACGGGUGAGUAACGCGUGAGCAACCUGCCUUUCAGAGGGGGACAACAGUUGGAAACGACUGCUAAUACCGCAUGAUGCAGCGAGAUCGCAUGGUCUUGCUGUCAAAGAUUUAUCGCUGAAAGAUGGGCUCGCGUCUAAUUAGCUAGUUGGAGGGGUAACGGCCCACCAAGGCGACGAUCAGUAGCCGGACUGAGAGGUUGAACGGCCACAUUGGGACUGAGAUACGGCCCAGACUCCUACGGGAGGCAGCAGUGGGGAAUAUUGGGCAAUGGGGGAAACCCUGACCCAGCAACGCCGCGUGAAGGAAGAAGGCUUUCGGGUUGUAAACUUCUUUUACCAGGGACGAAGAACGUGACGGUACCUGGAGAAAAAGCCACGGCUAACUACGUGCCAGCAGCCGCGGUAAUACGUAGGUGGCAAGCGUUGUCCGGAUUUACUGGGUGUAAAGGGCGUGUAGGCGGAGCUGCAAGUCAGAUGUGAAAUCUGGGGGCUUAACCCUCAAACUGCAUUUGAAACUGUAGCCCUUGAGUAUCGGAGAGGCAGGCGGAAUUCCUAGUGUAGCGGUGAAAUGCGUAGAUAUUAGGAAGAACACCAGUGGCGAAGGCGGCCUGCUGUACGACAACUGACGCUGAGGCGCGAAAGCGUGGGGAGCAAACAGGAUUAGAUACCCUGGUAGUCCACGCUGUAAACGAUGAAUACUAGGUGUGGGGGGACUGACCCCCUCCGUGCCGGAGUUAACACAAUAAGUAUUCCACCUGGGGAGUACGACCGCAAGGUUGAAACUCAAAGGAAUUGACGGGGGCCCGCACAAGCAGUGGAUUAUGUGGUUUAAUUCGACGCAACGCGAAGAACCUUACCGGGAUUUGACAUCCUACUAACGAAGCAGAGAUGCAUUAGGUGCCCUUCGGGGAAAGUAGAGACAGGUGGUGCAUGGUUGUCGUCAGCUCGUGUCGUGAGAUGUUGGGUUAAGUCCCGCAGCGAGCGCAACCCCUAUUGUUAGUUGCUACGCAAGAGCACUCUAGCGAGACUGCCGUUGACAAAACGGAGGAAGGCGGGGACGACGUCAAAUCAUCAUGCCCCUUAUGUCCCGGGCUACACACGUAAUACAAUGGCGGUCAACAAAGGGAAGCAAAGCCGCGAGGCAGAGCAAACCCCCAAAAGCCGUCUCAGUUCGGAUUGCAGGCUGCAACUCGCCUGCAUGAAGCUGGAAUUGCUAGUAAUCGUGGAUCAGAAUGCCACGGUGAAUACGUUCCCGGGCCUUGUACACACCGCCCGUCACACCAUGAGAGUCGGGAACACCCGAAGUCCGUAGUCUAACCCGCAAGGGAGGGCGCGGCCGAAGGUGGGUCUGAUAAUUGGGGUGAAGUCGUAACAAGGUA
rnacentral:rRNA from 1 species